UACGUAGGGUGCGAGCGUUGUCCGGAAUUACUGGGCGUAAAGAGCUCGUAGGUGGUUUGUCGCGUUGUUCGUGAAAACUCACAGCUCAACUGUGGGCGUGCGGGCGAUACGGGCAGACUGGAGUACUGCAGGGGAGACUGGAAUUCCUGGUGUAGCGGUGGAAUGCGCAGAUAUCAGGAGGAACACCGAUGGCGAAGGCAGCCCCCUGGGUUAACACUGACGCUCAUGCACGAAAGCGUGGGGAGCAAACAGG
rnacentral:rRNA from 1 species